AUCGUGUUUUUAUCUUGUACACAGCUUUGAUGGUUUUGUGCUAUGAAGCGGUCUGUACAUUUGUUAACAACAAUUAAUAAUGUAACAACAACAACAACAUCUGGAACUGGCCUCCUGAUGUUCCCAGUUUUGUUAAGUUGUGGGUGAACAUAUCAGACGACACAGCGAUUCCUCAGACAGCUCUUGUUUAUUCACAGGCCAGAACAAAACUGAACUGAAGGGCUCAGCCAACCUGCUUAUACUGUACAGAGCUCAGCUACAAGCAACAGUAACAACUUUCUGUAACUAUCCAAUCACUGAACGUCACUUUCAAUUCCUUAUUUGCAAAUGUGGACCUGAGUGAAAACUAUCUACAGUAUCCCCCUGCUGGCCCAGGGUGAGAACUUCAAUACAUAACAAGUUUCCUUCCUUCCUCCCCCCCCCCCAAUUCCUUAUCAAACCCAUGCCUCCCUCUAACCAUUUCUGUUUUAUCUGCAUGCUGAGAAAAGGGGCUUACCUCUAGCCUGAUUUACUGCUGGUGAGGCCUCAUGCAAAGACUUGCACAGACAGAGCAGCAUCACAGCUACCACCUCACACUGAUGUUUCUGAUGUGAGAUUCAAAUAAUUUUAUGGGAAGUGACUCAUAAAUGCAAAUAAAUAAUGCCCGGUCCUUAUCGGGAAGAAUUUCCCUUGCUUCUCACCCCCAAGUUUUUUUCUGAAAACCUUGGGAUUCUCCCAAAUCUGUUGACAUCUUCCUCUUUUGAUGGGUGGUACUGGUUUGGCUAUGUAAGUAUUAGCAUUUGGAGAAUGAAUUUAUAAGUACAUAUGACUCAGAAUAUAGUUUUGUACACAACUUUCCCUUCCUUUGAUCUGAGUUAUAACAGAUCUUCAGAUAGCUCUAGCUCAAAGCUCUGUUAAACUGCCUUGGUAGUUCCUUAUGAAUCUUCAGUAUAGAGAUGGACUGUUGGGGUGAGUCAUAUUUCCAAGGUCUUCAAGACAGAUUCUUCAGCUAGCUCUGAAACAUAAGACAGAAUGGACUUUAAAACUUGGGCUCCUGCUCGGCAUAGCAUAGCCUUCCUAGGCAACAAAGCCAAAGGCCCAAAGACCUUGGGUCAAACAACUUAUUUCUGUGUCUUCUCAUUGGCCUGAACAGGAUUGCUCCUAUGUAAGCCAAAAUGUUUUGUUCUCAGGAUUUCUGACUUGAGUCUAGGAAUGUUCUCACACUGGGGCAUGUAGGCAGUAUAGUCUGUGUACACACCAUAUAUUUAAAACACAUUUUCACCCUCUAAAAAAAGAAUCCCAAUAACUGCCGUUUAUUAAGGGUGAUGGGAAUUGUAGCUCUUGUGAGGGGUAAACUGCAGUUCCCAGGAGAUUGAGUGCUUAAAAAUGCUAUGUCAGUGUGCUUCAAAAUAUCCUUUAUUUCACAUUUAUUAUUAUCAAGUGUUCAGAUCCACAGUUUGAGAAAGUAGAUUGCAGAGAACAAAGUUUAUCUGUGCCUUGUUAGAACAGUUUCUAUGGCAUUGUUUCCCCCCACCCUUUUAAAAAAUGUACCUUUUCAGCACUGAGCAUCAAAACCUGUAGUACAUAGUCAAAGGCAGUUCACAAAGAGAAUAAUGUGACAUGCCCACA